GACGAACGCUGGCGGCGUGCUUAACACAUGCAAGUCGAACGGAAAGGCUCUGCUUGCAGGGUACUCGAGUGGCGAACGGGUGAGUAACACGUGGGUGAUCUGCCCUGCACUUCGGGAUAAGCCUGGGAAACUGGGUCUAAUACCGGAUAGGAGCCAUUUUUAGUGUGAUGGUUGGAAAGUUUUUUCGGUGUAGGAUGAGCUCGCGGCCUAUCAGCUUGUUGGUGGGGUAAUGGCCUACCAAGGCGGCGACGGGUAGCCGGCCUGAGAGGGUGGACGGCCACAUUGGGACUGAGAGACGGCCCAGACUCCUACGGGAGGCAGCAGUGGGGAAUAUUGCACAAUGGGCGCAAGCCUGAUGCAGCGACGCCGCGUGGGGGAUGACGGCCUUCGGGUUGUAAACUCCUUUCGCUAGGGACGAAGCUUUUUGUGACGGUACCUAGAUAAGAAGCACCGGCUAACUACGUG
rnacentral:rRNA from 1 species